rnacentral:lncRNA from 1 species
AGCAGACUUUGUUAUUUCACUUAUCUUUAGAGACACAUUUAUAUCAGAAAAUUUAACUUGAUGAUUAAAAAAAUUGGUGAAAUACGUGUAGACUUUUGUAACUGGAUUAUAGUUUCAUCUAAGAACUCACUAAAAAUAUAUUGAACUUCAGGAAGAGAUUUUUAAAUGGCUUUGGUAAGCCAUUUAAAAGCCUUAUUUUCCCAAACGAAUUAGUGUUGGUGUGUGGAUGAGGAACUUUGCUGUUAUUCUGUGAGCAUUACCUGAUAAGAACUAAUCAGAUGACAGAUGGAAUCUGAAGCUUGUUCUGAUGAAUUUUUGAGGCUGGAAUGCAAUGGCGUGAUUAUAGCUCAAUGCAUCUUCAUCUCCCUGGGCUCAAGCAAUCUUCCA